GAGCUGUGAGGAUAACUGCGCCUGCGAUGGUUAGGGUCUAUCGCCCCUCUCUGAUCUUAGGAUGAGACAACGCGCAUCUGAGCUC
rnacentral:snoRNA from 1 species